rnacentral:rRNA from 1 species
CCUACGGGCGGCAGCAGUGGGGAAUAUUGCACAAUGGGCGCAAGCCUGAUGCAGCCAUGCCGCGUGUAUGAAGAAGGCCUUAGGGUUGUAAAGUACUUUCAGUUGGGAGGAGGGCGUUGAUGCUAAUAUCAUCAACGAUUGACGUUACCAACAGAAGAAGCACCGGCUAACUCCGUGCCAGCAGCCGCGGUAAUACGGAGGGCGCAAGCGUUAAUCGGAAUUACUGUGCGUAAAGCGCACGCAGGCGGUUGAUUAAGUUAGAUGUGAAAUCCCCGGGCUUAACCUGGGAAUGGCAUCUAAGACUGGUCAGCUAGAGUCUUGUAGAGGGGGGUAGAAUUCCAUGUGUAGCGGUGAAAUGCGUAGAGAUGUGGAGGAAUACCGGUGGCGAAGGCGGCCCCCUGGACAAAGACUGACGCUCAGGUGCGGAAGCGUGGGGAGCAAACAGGAUUAGAUACCCCGGUAGUC